AAACUACUGAGGGUGGCACAUUCAGUCCUGGGAGAGGGACAGAGAAAACAGGUGGGGCAUUCACGGUGGUCCCUGGAGCUUCAGCCACUCCAGAGGGUUCUGGAAGGCUCCAUUGCCCACUCUCCUCUUUCCACACCCCCACCUCCACAACCUGUACUCCUCUCUGCCAGGAGCCUUGUCCUAGGCUUCAGGGUGGGAGAAGUCUCCGGUCCUGCCCCAUUCCCACGGCCUCACCCCACUGACCUCCUCACUACCUUUCCCCUCUCCAAAUCCGAAAAGGCUCUCCCAUUGCCAGGACACUGAAGAAUGGGAGACCCGCCAUACAGUCCUGUCCUCAAGGAGCCUGUGGCUCAGGGAGAGGAGAGAAGGUCAGAGCUGCGCAGAGCUGGCGGUGCUUCCCCAUGGGAUGCAAUGCUGGUAGCUUUAAACCAGCUACGGUAGAAGUAUUAACACCACAGAAGUCAAGAGAGGCCUUUUCUCUGCAGAGAGCUGAUUGUUAAACAUUGACCAGCACACGUCUGCUGACACACCUGCGGCUUCUCCUGCUGUGGGUGGUCCUGAGGGCAGUGUUAGCUGGAGCUGCCUGAGGAAGCUUCAGAGGCAGAUGCAGUCUGACCUGAGCCAUGAAGAAGUGCAGAGUCCCCAAGAGGCCAGAGAGCUCACGUCUGGUUAGAGUCGGGGUGUUUGAUGGGAAGAUGAAAGGAGGAGCUGGCAUCUGAGGAGAACCAUGGAGAGGAGGGGAGGCUGGACCGGGCUUCACCUCACACGGUGCAGGAAUGGCCACAAAGUCCUGAUGAAGAGCAGCCCCUGCGGGACAUCCCUGACAAACAACCCUACAGCUUCUGCUUGAGUCUCCCCAGCAUGGGGAACUCACCACCUUCCAAGGCACCUCUCUUGUAAAUGAAGAAAUUAAAACUGCAAGUUGAAACUGAGUCACUGAUGGCGCCAGAUGUUUCUGGAGCAAAACUGGGAAAGAGGGUGAGCAUUGGAAAGACACCUCCUCCUGUUAUCUUCGAGAAGCCAUUUACUGGGAAAACAAAAACUGAGCUCCAUGAUGCAUAAAUUCCAAAAUGCAGAGGCCAAUUUCUUUCCCUUUGACCACAUGUCGGAAAGGCUCGGGGUUCAGUAACUGGAGGAGGCAGUGUUUAAUCCCAAUUUUACCAGUGAAGAAACUGAGGCUCAGAAAAACAAAGUGACUCCAAAUUCCUUGAGCACCUGGCCAGGGUCAGUCCCCACGGUGGCUGAGAUGGUUGACCAAUGGCCUCUGGGGAGAAGGCUAUGGGCACAGACACUGGUCCCUGGCUUGUUGGGAGGGAACAAGGAUGUCCAUCUGUCCUCCCUCAACACUGCCUCCUGGGGGACAAGGAAGAUGCCCAGAGUGAGUGGGCAGGGUGGGCGAUGGACUCAUACCCUGCCUUGGUGUCUCUGUGGCUCCUGGAAGAUCCUUGCAAGCAGCGGUGAGCACUGUGACUUGAGCCCUGCGGUGGUGGCUUGCCAUGUGGCCAGUCAAGGUGGACGAUGGACUCAUAUGCUGCCUGGGUGUCUCUGUGACUCUUGGGAGAUCCUUGCUGGCAGCGGUGAGCACUGUGACUUCAGCCCUGCAGUGGUAGCUGGUCACAUGGCCAGUCAAGGCUCAGUCUUCUUAGUAAUCAAAGGACUGAAAGUGUCCAGUAGCUUUGGAUGAUGGUUGAGGACUCGUUAAUAAAGACCACUGCCCUAUGGGAAUGCGUUAUACUCUCUGGAAUGAGCCGUGCAGGUGGGCUCAGAGAACAUACCAUUUGCACACUCAUAACAAUGUAAAAGUAUGAAAGUAAAAGUCAUAUGAAAUCCUCCUGUGCAGAGCUAGUUAAUGUUGGGUGACUGUCACUCCAGGCAUCUGUCUUUGCACUUGCAAGAGGGAUAACAUGUAGGUAAAUAGGAAAACACUGUACAGUAUAUGCUAUCCUUUACUUACUUUAGUCAAUGGUAUAUCAACAAACAUAAAUCUAUAUCAUUUUAACUGCAUCUGAUUCCAUUGUAUGAAUGUACCUUACUUUAUUUAAUCAGUAGGCUUCUGAUUGCAAUUUGCAUUGGGUUUUGCAUUUCAGCCAUCUUUCGUGAUCCUUAAAGCUUGGGCCUCAAUCAAGAUACACAAAAAUAUGCACUUUAAAUUACUUAAC